rnacentral:lncRNA from 1 species
CACCAGCUGCAAAGGAACCCUUGGUUUGACAAAGACUGAGGGAGUGGCCGAUUAUCUAAUUUCAUACCAAAAGGUAAGACGAAACAACCAAGGAGUAGUACUGUCCACUGCGUGUGACCCAGUAGAAAAAUCCAAUACCAGACUGCUUAAAGCCUCCGAAAGAAGGCAUGACGUCGGCACAAGGACGAGCUAAAGAGGACGAAGCUGGUAGAGCCUCUCACCAGCCCGGCAGAAGCGAGUACGGUUGCAUGUGGUAAUGACAGACGCCUCCGGAACCACUUGACAGUUUGGACGGAAAGAAGCAAGUAUGACUCCUUUUCCUACUUCUUUGCCGACCCUUCCCGAGGCAACCAGUUCCACAGAAAACCAGACGCUCGCGGCAGAACUUCAAGACUGCCCCAUCGUUGAGACCCAACGCUAACAGUAUCUUUUGCUCAACGAAAGCUAAAAUUAUCUAUUGGUCUCAGCUUUCUUUCCCAAUGUGCACGCUUUCCUGAACAGUAGUCGGUUUUUUCGUGUGAGAAUUUCGAGCCCUCCCAUAUGCUUGACUUGCCUCAUUGGUUCGGCUGAUCACAUGAUAAAGUUUGGAGAUGGCGUGCUUGAGUGUGUAGCUGUCAAGAGUUCCGCAGUAGAUGAGCACGCGCAGAAUGCAGAGGUGGUAGUGGAAUGCGGUGAAGGGAGUGUUAUGUAAGAACCGGAACGUAGGCUGGGACGGAAGAACAGAGAGGGGAACAAGAGGCACUGUUUGUUUGCCUCCUUUCGCUGCUACACGCGUUCUUUCCAUACACAUGGAAACUCCGCGUAGCGCUCAGGGACAUACCGGACACACCUGAGCAGUGUCGGACGUCGCUUGUUGGGCAGCUGUGCCCCGGGGUGUUGCACAGUACCCGAAGGAUAAGGAACUGGAACGACGCUUCCAGGAUCUAUUCCCCUAUUCCUGCACACAUGAUCGCAGGCUGGAGGGGAAACAAAAGACUAUUGUGUUCCUUCUGUUGUCGAUAAUGAGGCAGCAGAAUGAACUAAUGGACGCAGUGCAGAUGCGAACUAUGGAGCUGUUAGUUGUGUUAUCUCAAGCGACAUGGAAGGAGUAAACUCAUUCCCCCUCAGUGUGGUACCACAUCAGACAGAAUCCAGUGAAUCUCAAGGAGACGCGAUGAAGUGCAUAACAACGCCGUCUUCAACAAGACAACCAAUUGGGCAUUUUGUGGGUGAUGUCACUGCGAUAGAGCGGGGCACAGAGAAAAGGACUGAAAAUCCACAUAAAAAUGGAUCUCAGUACCGCCUCCUGAGGAGCCUUCAGAAACGUUUCAAUAAGGACGAGAUUGCAAAUGCCGAUGAAACUGUCCCUGAAGUUGUUCAGUCGCGCUCUGCUUUCUUUCCUGCCGAAAUGCCAGAAACACACGAGUACCCAGCAGAAUCUGAGAGUCUAGAUUGCAGGAAAACGCGUCCGCUUCAGCCAUACUCGGCCCUGAAGUGUCAGGAUGAAAACAACAGUUCGACCGCCGCUGAGGGGUGGAGAAUCAAAAUCAGAAGAAAAACGGAAAACGGAAAGAGUAGGAAAGAAACCUGCUGGAAGCAUAGGCCACUCCGGAAGAUUCUGCGGGUUAUGCUGCCGGUACCAUUGAGAUUUGAGGAUCCACGCGAUGAAGAAAAAUUCGCUUCAACAAUUCAG